UCCGUAGGCGGGCGUCUAAGUCAGUGGUGAAAUCUUACAGCUCAACUGUAAAAUUGCCAUUGAUACUGGAUGUCUUGAAUUAGUGUGAAGUGGUUAGAAUGUGUAGUGUAGCGGUGAAAUGCAUAGAUAUUACACAGAAUACCAAUUGCGAAGGCAGAUAACUAACACUACAUUGACGCUGAGGGAAGAAAGCGUGGGGAGCGAACAGGAUUAGAUACCCUGGUAGUCC
rnacentral:rRNA from 1 species